rnacentral:rRNA from 1 species
AGUCGGAGCAGCCUUCGGACUUCGGUCUGGUGGCGAGUGGCGAACGGGUGGAGUAAUGUAUCGGAACGUGCCUAGUAGCGGGGGAUAACUACGCGAAAGCGUAGCUAAUACCGCAUACGCCCUUCGGGGAAAGCGGGGGACCGCUUCGGGCCUCGCACUAUUAAACGGCCGAUAUCGGAUUAUGUACUAGUUGGUGAGGUAACGGCUCGCAAGGCGACGAUCCGUAGCUGGUUUGAGAGGACGACCAGCCACACUGGGACUGAGACACGGCCCAGACUCCUACGGGAGGCAGCAGUGGGGAAUUUUGGACAAUGGAAACCCUGAUCCAGCCAUCCCGCGUGUGCGAUGAAGGCCUUCGGGUUGUAAAGCACUUUUGGCAGGAAAAAGAAACGGCACGGGAUAAUACCCCGUGCAACUGACGACUACAGAAUAAGCACCGGCUAACUACGUGCCAGCAAGCCGCGGUAAUACGUAGGGGGUGCAAGCGUUAAUCGGAAUUACUGGGCGUAAAGCGUGCGCAGGCGGUUCGGAAAGAAAGAUGUGAGAAAUCCCAGAGCUUAACUUUGGGAACUGCAUUUUUAACUACCGAGCUAGAGAGUGUGUCAGAGGGAGGUGGAAUUCCGCGUCUUAAGUGAAAUGCGUAGACAUGCUGAGGAGGAACACCGAUGGCGAAGACGUAGCCUCCUGGGAUAACACUGACGCUCAUGCACGAAAGCGUGGGAGCAAACAGGAUUAGAUACCCUGGUAGUCCACGCCCUAAACGAUGUCAACUAGCUGUUGGGGCCUUCGGGCCUUGGUAGCGCAGCUAACGCGUGAAGUUGACCGCCUGGGGAGUACGGUCGCAAGAUUAAAACUCAAAGGAAUUGACGGGGACCCGCACAAGCGGUGGAUGAUGUGGAUUAAUUCGAUGCAACGCGAAAAACCUUACCUACCCUUGACAUGUCUGGAAUCCCGAAGAGAUUUGGGAGUGCUCGCAAGAGAACCGGAACACAGGUGCUGCAUGGCUGUCGUCAGCUCGUGUCUGAGAUGUUGGGUUAAGUCCCGCAACGAGCGCAACCCUUGUCAUUAGUUGCUACGAAAGGGCACUCUAAUGAGACUGCCGGUGACAAACCGGAGGAAGGUGGGGGAUGACGUCAAGUCCUCAUGGCCCUUAUGGGUAGGGCUUCACACGUCAUACAAUGGUCGGGACAGAGGGUCGCCAACCCAUGAGGAGCCAAUCCAAGAAACCCGAUCGUAGUCGGAUCGCAGUCUGCAACUCGACUGCGUGAAGUCGGAAUCGCUAGUAAUCGCGGAUCAGCAUGUCGCGGUGAAUACGUUCCCGGGUCUUGUACACACCGCCCGUCACACCAUGGGAGUGGGUUUUACCAGAAGUAGUUAGCCUAACCGUAAGGAGGGCGAUUACCACGGUAAGUUCAUGACUGGGGUGAAGUCGUAACAAAGGUAG